rnacentral:rRNA from 1 species
GACGAACGCUGGCGGCGUGCCUAAUACAUGCAAGUAGAACGCUGAAGGCGGAGCUUGCUUCUCUGGAUGAGUUGCGAACGGGUGAGUAACGCGUAGGUAACCUGCCUGGUAGCGGGGGAUAACUAUUGGAAACGAUAGCUAAUACCGCAUAAUAGUAGAUGUUGCAUGACAUUUGCUUAAAAGGUGCAAUUGCAUCACUACCAGAUGGACCUGCGUUGUAUUAGCUAGUUGGUGAGGUAACGGCUCACCAAGGCAAAGAUACAUAGCCGACCUGGGAGGGGGGGCGGCCCCACUGGGAAUGGUGCACGGCCCAGAUUCCGACGGGAGGCAGCCGUAGGGCAUCCGCGGGGAUGGAGGGAAGACUGACCGAGCAACGCCGGGUGAGUGAAGAAGGUUCGCGGAUCGUGAAGCUCUGUCGUUAGAGAAGAACGAGGGUGAGGCUGGAAAGUUCACGCUGUGACGGUUACUUACCAAAAAGGGACGGCUUACUACGUU